UACAGAGGUCUCAAGCGUUGUUCGGAUUCAUUGGGCGUAAAGGGUGCGUAGGCGGCGCGGAAAGUAGGGUGUGAAAUCCCUCGGCUCAACCGAGGAACUGCGUCCUAAACUACCGUGCUCGAGGGAGAUAGAGGUGAGCGGAACUUAGGGUGGAGCGGUGAAAUGAGUUGAUAUCCUAAGGAACACCGGUGGCGAAAGCGGCUCACUGGAUCUCUUCUGACGCUGAGGCACGAAAGCUAGGGUAGCGAACGGG
rnacentral:rRNA from 1 species